GUGGGGAAUCUUAGACAAUGGGCGCAAGCCUGAUCUAGCCAUGCCGCGUGAGCGAUGAAGGCCUUAGGGUUGUAAAGCUCUUUCGCUGGGGAAGAUAAUGACUGUACCCAGUAAAGAAGCCCCGGCUAACUCCGUGCCAGCAGCCGCGGUAAUACGGAGGGGGCUAGCGUUAUUCGGAAUGACUGGGCGUAAAGCGCACGUAGGCGGACCAGAAAGUUGGGGGUGAAAUCCCGGGGCUCAACCUCGGAACUGCCUUCAAAACUCCUGGUCUUGAGUUCGAGAGAGGUGAGUGGAAUUCCGAGUGUAGAGGUGAAAUUCGUAGAUAUUCGGAGGAACACCAGUGGCGAAGGCGGCUCACUGGCUCGAUACUGACGCUGAGGUGCGAAAGCGUGGGGAGCAAACAGGAUUAGAAACCCCAGUAGUCC
rnacentral:rRNA from 1 species